rnacentral:rRNA from 1 species
UACGAAAGGUGCAAGCGUUACUCGGAAUCACUGGGCGUAAAGCGCACGUAGGCGGACUCGUAGGUCAAUUGUGAAAUACCUGGGCUCAACCCGGGAACUGCAGUUGAAACCGCUUGUCUUGAAUACCUGAGAGGGUGGGGGAAUACCUGGUGGAGAAGUGAAAUUCGUAGAGAUCAGGUGGAACACCGGAGGCGAAGGCGCCUGCCUGGCAGUGUAUUGACGCUGAGGUGCGAAAGCUGGGGGGAGCAAACCGG